GACGAACGCUGGCGGCGUGCUUAACACAUGCAAGUCGAACGGAAAGGCCCUGCUUUUGUGGGGUGCUCGAGUGGCGAACGGGUGAGUAACACGUGAGUAACCUGCCCUUGACUUUGGGAUAACUUCAGGAAACUGGGGCUAAUACCGGAUAGGAGCGCCUGCUGCAUGGUGGGGGUUGGAAAGUUUCGGCGGGUGGGGAUGGACUCGCGGCUUAUCAGCCUGUUGGUGGGGUAGUGGCUUACCAAGGCUUUGACGGGUAGCCGGCCUGAGAGGGUGACCGGCCACAUUGGGCCGGAGAUACGGCCCAGACUCCUACGGGAGGCAGCAGUGGGGAAUAUUGCACAAUGGGCGGAAGCCUGAUGCAGCAACGCCGCGUGCGGGAUGACGGCCUUCGGGUUGUAGACCGCUUUCGCCUGUGACGAAGCGUGAGUGACGGUAAUGGGUAAAGAAGCACCGGCUAACUACGUG
rnacentral:rRNA from 1 species